rnacentral:rRNA from 1 species
UACGGAAGGUCCGGGCGUUAUCCGGAUUUAUUGGGUUUAAAGGGAGCGCAGGCUGGAUAUUAAGCGUGACGUGAAAUGCCGCGGCUCAACCGUGGAAGUGCGUCGCGAACUGGUUUCCUUGAGUGCGUACGACGCUGGCGGAAUUCGUGGUGUAGCGGUGAAAUGCUUAGAUAUCACGAAGAACCCCGAUUGCGAAGGCAGCCAGCGAGGCCGCAACUGACGCUAAAGCUCGAAGGUGCGGGUAU